UACGGAGGAGGCAAGCGUUAUCCGGAAUUAUUGGGCGUAAAGCGUCCGCAGGUGGCGAUUCAAGUCUGCGGUCAAAGACUGGGGCUUAACCCUGGAAAGGCCGUGGAAACUGAAUAGCUAGAGUGCAGUAGAGGUAGAGGGAAUUCCCGGUGUAGCGGUGAAAUGCGUAGAGCUCGGGAAGAACAUCGGUGGCGAAAGCGCUCUGCUGGACUGCAACUGACACUCAGGGACGAAAGCUAGGGGAGCGAAUGGG
rnacentral:rRNA from 1 species